UAAAACUUUCAACAACGGAUCUCUUGGUUCUGGCAUCGAUGAAGAACGCAGCGAAAUGCGAUAAGUAAUGUGAAUUGCAGAAUUCAGUGAAUCAUCGAAUCUUUGAACGCACAUUGCGCCCCUUGGUAUUCCGAGGGGCAUGCCUGUUCGAGCGUCAUUGC
rnacentral:rRNA from 2 species